AAAGAAGGAAGCAAGAAAGCUGAAAUAUAAGAAGAGACAAAAGACAGUAAGGAGAGAAAGUACACCGACCCGUUGCGUCAGCGGUGGUUCUCCGACAGGGCCAGUCGGUUGCACGGUAUUUACCGACGCAGAGGACACCGUAGCCGCCGGGCUUGGUGCGUGUUCCAUCAGAGCACAGGAUGGCGAUGUGCUAGUCGAGGCGGCGUCCAAAGAACAGCUAGCUGCUCCUGGGCUUGGAUAUUUUGAGUGUAGGAUAUUUGUACAAGCUGUUUUACGAAGAAUGAAAGGGAAAGAGGCGAUAUAAACACUAACCGCUACCGGUAAAACUUAAUCCUGGACUCAACAAUCCUUGGUGUUGCUG